rnacentral:lncRNA from 1 species
UUACUUUCCUCACGUGAUCGACGUGAAGGACAACAGCAUUAGUGGGAGAAUUUCCAACAAUGGCCAGCCGCAGCUCCUACAAAAGCUGCAGCUGUAAGUUCGGUUUUCACUUCUAGUUUCCAUGGGUUGAAAGUCAGUAGUCGUUGAACAAAUCCCAACACGGGCAGAAGCCGAAAAUCGCAGAGCUCCAACUUUCGCAAGAGGAGGCGGUUCAGGAAAUGUGUUACAAUGGCACC